GGAGUGGGGGCUUAUGGGAAUUAUUCUUUUUAGUGCUUCGCACUGGUUAGUGGCGGACGGGUGAGUAACACGUAGGCAACCUACCCCUGAGCGGGGGACAACCCAGGGAAACUUGGGCUAAUACCGCAUAAGACCACGACCUGGGAUGGUAGUGGUAAAAGCAGCAAUGCACUUAGGGAUGGGCCUGCGGCCUAUCAGGUAGUUGGUGGGGUAACGGCCUACCAAGCCUACGACGGGUAGCCGGUCUGAGAGGACGAACGGCCACACUGGAACUGCGACACGGUCCAGACUCCUACGGGAGGCAGCAGUGGGGAAUUUUGCACAAUGGGCGAAAGCCUGAUGCAGCGACGCCGCGUGGAGGACGAAGGCCUUCGGGUUGUAAACUCCUUUUGUAGGGGACAAUAAUGAUGGUACCCUAUGAAUAAGCCACGGCUAACUCUGUGCCAGCAGCCGCGGUAAGACAGAGGUGGCAAGCGUUGUUC
rnacentral:rRNA from 1 species